rnacentral:rRNA from 1 species
UACAGGUGCUGCAUGGCUGUCGUCAGCUCGUGUCGUGAGAUGUUGGGUUAAGUCCCGCAACGAGCGCAACCCUUUUCCUUAUUUGCCAGCGGGUCAUGCCGGGAACUUUAAGGAUACUGCCAGUGACAAACUGGAGGAAGGCGGGGACGACGUCAAGUCAUCAUGGCCCUUACGGCCAGGGCUACACACGUGCUACAAUGGUCGGUACAAAGGGUUGCUACCUCGCGAGAGGAUGCUAAUCUCAAAAAGCCGAUCGUAGUCCGGAUCGCAGUCUGCAACUCGACUGCGUGAAGUCGGAAUCGCUAGUAAUCGCGGAUCAGAAUGCCGCGGUGAAUACGUUCCCGGGCCUUGUGCACACCGCCCGUCACACCAUGGGAGUUUGUUGCACCAGAAGUAGGUAGUCUAACCGCAAGGAGGACGCUUACCACGGUGUGGCCGAUGACUGGGGUGAAGUCGUAACAAGGUAAGCGUAGAUGA